UUCACAAAGGCAUUGACCAUGGGAACAGCAGUUGCCCUGCUUCCUGAAACUCUUGUCCUCUGAAUGCACACUUCGUCCUCCCCCGCCUGGUCGUGCUGGCCUCCCUUCUUCAGUUAUCCAAGCCCAUGAAUGACCAAACCUAUUCAUUCAGUUAAUGCAGUUGAAAGCUCUCUGUGACUUCGGGUGUUAAUCACCAUUAUCUUUUCCUUGGAAGAAGAUGGCUGGGAAGACCAGUGAUAGAAGAACAGGGAUUUAAAAAUCCACCUGGGAGGAUGGACAGGACACAGGAGCACGACAUACUGCAGCCCUACUGAAAGCACCAGAAGUGUGGUGUUGACAAGAUCACACAUGAAGCAGAUCUGAUUGCUGUCGGUGUGGCUCCAUCAGUUGCUGGGGCUGGGCUGGCUGACUCGAGGGACUGAGUCUCUCCCCAUUCUGGAUCUUCGUGGUCUGUGUGUUGCCCUUCAUAAGCUGUAUACAUGACCAAAGAGGAUACUUUUUCUGGAGAGGAAGAACUUUCCUUUGGUCGAAGAGACACAGUAUAUUGAUGACCUGAAAAACACACAGCUUUUGAGCCCAUCUGCCGACAUUGUAAUAGGAGCCUUUCUUAAUUUCUGGAGUCCUCAGUGCAUUUUCUAGGUCUGUAAACAAGAACAGUAAGAGGUUGUGUGGAAACGAUGGGGCUGCCAUUUCUCAGCUUUCAUUUUUCAUUUAACUUGGAAACAAGCUGUAGGGACUCAACUUGUGUUGCUUGUAAUUUCAACCAAGAAUAAAAUGGAUAAUACACAUCUGUGUAGCUUAUGGAGGAAUUCAUGGCGUCCUUAGCAACAGACUUACACUAUUUUG